rnacentral:lncRNA from 1 species
CGUGGGAAGGAUGGUCCCCUCCUAUAUAAAACAGAGUCUCUCUUGACUUCAAUCAAUAUGAAAUUAAUGAUGUCCUUCCUUCUACAUUAUAAUACCUCUUAAUUUUAUCAACUUCAUUUCACCAAGAAGCAUGUCUCACCAUGUACCACACAAAUGGCAUGGUGGUUCCAAGUCUUUGACCAACACUGGCCUUGGGUUCCAGAUGAUCCCCACUAAAGCAAUCCCGG